rnacentral:rRNA from 1 species
GACGAACGCUGGCGGCGUGCCUAACACAUGCAAGUCGAACGGAAAACAUAGCAAUAUGUUUUUAGUGGCGAACGGGUGAGUAACGCGUAGACAACCAACCUUUUUGUGGGGGACAACACUUCGAAAGGAGUGCUAAUACCGCAUACGCUCUUGAUGCCGCCUGGUGUUAAGAGGUAAGGAGCUGUAAGGCUUCGCAAAAAGAAGGGUCUGCGUCUGAUUAGCUAGUUGGAGGGGUAACGGCCCACCAAGGCGACGAUCAGUAGCCGGUCUGAGAGGAUGGACGGCCACACUGGGACUGAGACACGGCCCAGACUCCUACGGGAGGCAGCAGUGGGGAAUCUUCCGCAAUGGACGAAAGUCUGACGGAGCGACGCCGCGUGAGUGAUGAAGGCCCUUGGGUCGUAAAGCUCUGUCAUCAGGGACGAACGGUCACGUCAGGAAAUGGGCGUGAAUUGACGGUACCUGAGAAGGAAGCCACGGCUAACUACGUGCCAGCAGCCGCCGUA